GAAUGUGCCUUCGGGAACCGUGAGACAGGUGCUGCAUGGCUGUCGUCAGCUCGUGUUGUGAAAUGUUGGGUUAAGUCCCGCAACGAGCGCAACCCUUAUCCUUGUUGCCAGCGGUCCGGCCGGGAACUCAAAGGAGACUGCCAGUGAUAAACUGGAGGAAGGUGGGGAUGACGUCAAGUCAUCAUGGCCCUUACGACCAGGGCUACACACGUGCUACAAUGGCGCAUACAAAGAGAAGCGACCUCGCGAGAGCAAGCGGACCUCAUAAAGUGCGUCGUAGUCCGGAUUGGAGUCUGCAACUCGACUCCAUGAAGUCGGAAUCGCUAGUAAUCGUGGAUCAGAAUGCCACGGUGAAUACGUUCCCGGGCCUU
rnacentral:rRNA from 1 species